UACGUAGGGUGCGAGCGUUGUUCGGAAUUAUUGGGCGUAAAGCGCACGUAGGCGGCCGGGUAAGUCUCACUGUGAAAGCCCGGGGCUCAACCCCGGGAGGCCAGGGGAUACUGCUCGGCUGGAGACAGGCAGAGGCUGGUAGAAUUCCGGGUGUAGCGGUGGAAUGCGUAGAGAUCCGGAGGAAUACCUGAGGCGAAGGCGGCCAGCUGGGCCUGAUCUGACGCUGAGGUGCGAAAGCGUGGGGAGCGAACAGG
rnacentral:rRNA from 1 species